CCACAGCUGCAACCGCACGGGCCAAGUCUUAAGUCUGUUAUGCAGCGCUUGUUCUCGGCGAGUCUAAGUGAUAUA
rfam:Lactobacillus silagei DNA, scaffold: sequence05, strain: IWT126.